AUGCAGGGCUUCCCGGUGGCGUGCCACCCUUGUUCCUGUGUCCCAUGGCUCGGAGGAGAGGGCUGGGGGCUGGUCCGGUGGGAGAAGCUCCGGGGGGGAGUGAUCGGGGGCCAUGUCCAUCUGGGGACAGCAGGCCCUGGUCCCCCACUGGCCGCCGUGGGCUCCCUGCUGGCAGCUGGGCUCUUCCUGGGGAGGCACUUGCUGGGCAUGGCCCCUGAGGACCAGCGGGGACCUGGGGUGGAGGCUGGACAUGGCUGUGAGGCCGUGUGUCCCCAAAACCCCGAAGGCACCCUGAGCGCACAACCCAGCAGAGAGCAUGUCUGUGCCCACUGGACAGAUGGGAAGCUGAAAGUCCAGCAGCACGUGCGGACUCGGCCACAUGCGGGCCCACCGCCUCACAGAGCGUCCUGUGUUGCAGAGUCCAAAACCAGCCCCCAUGUCUUCCCGCUGAGCCUCAGGACCAGUGACCCAGCCGGGCAAGUGGUCAUUGCCUGCCUGGUGCAAGGGUUCUUCCCGCCGGAGCCCGUGAGAGUGACUUGGAGCCCCAGCAAGGAAGGCGCGUCCAUCCGGAACUUCCCCGCAGUGAAGUCUGCUUCCGGGAACCUGUACACCAUGAGCAGCCAGCUGACCCUGCCGGCUAGCCAGUGCCCCGAUGGCGCGUCCCUGCAAUGCCAAGUGGAGCACUAUUCCAGCACCAGCCCGGCCGUGUCUGUGCCCUGCAGAGUUGACCCCCUUCCUCAGUGUUCCCCGUGCAAUGAACCCCGCCUGUCACUACACAAGCCCGCCCUCGAGGACCUGCUUCUGGGCUCCAAUGCCAGCAUCACGUGCACACUGAGCGGCCUGAACAACCCUAAGGGUGCCCUGUUCUCCUGGACACCCUCAGAGGGGAAGGAGGCCAUCCAGAAGCCCCCAGAGCGUGACUCCUGCGGCUGCUACAGUGUGUCCAGUGUCCUUCCAGGCUGCGCUGAGCCAUGGAACCGCGGGGAGAACUUCUCCUGCACCGCCACCCAUCCCGAGCUCAAGACGCCAAAAACUGACACCAUCUCCAAAGUCCUAGAGAACACUUUCCGGCCCCAGGUCCACCUGCUGCCGCCGCCGUCGGAAGAGCUGGCCCUCAAUGAGCUGGUGUCGCUGACGUGCCUCGUGCGAGGCUUCAGCCCCGAGGACGUGCUGGUUCGAUGGCUGCAAGGAUCCCAGGAGCUGUCCCGGGAGAAGUACCUGACCUGGGGCCCCCUGCAGGAGCCCGACCAGAGCGUCCCCACCUUCGCCACGACCAGCGUGCUGCGAGUGUCGGCCGAGGACUGGAAGCAGGGGGAGAAGUUCUCCUGCAUGGUGGGUCACGAGGCCCUGCCCCUGGCCUUCACCCAGAAGACCAUCGACCGCCUGGCGGGUUGCCGGGAGCCACUUCCCUGGCUGGUGCUGGACCUACCGCAGGAGGACCUGGAGGAAGACGCCCCAGGAGCCAGCCUGUGGCCCACCACGGUCACCUUGCUCACCCUCUUCCUACUGAGUCUCUUCUACAGCACAGCGCUGACCGUGACAAGUGUGCGGGGCCCAGCCGACAGCAGAGAGGGCCCCCGGUACUGA